rnacentral:rRNA from 1 species
GUGGGGAAUCUUGCGCAAUGGGCGAAAGCCUGACGCAGCCAUGCCGCGUGAAUGAUGAAGGUCUUAGGAUUGUAAAAUUCUUUCACCGGGGACGAUAAUGACGGUACCCGGAGAAGAAGCCCCGGCUAACUUCGUGCCAGCAGCCGCGGUAAUACGAAGGGGGCUAGCGUUGCUCGGAAUUACUGGGCGUAAAGGGCGCGUAGGCGGACAGUUUAGUCAGAGGUGAAAGCCCAGGGCUCAACCUUGGAAUUGCCUUUGAUACUGGCUGUCUUGAGUACGGGAGAGGUGAGUGGAACUCCGAGUGUAGAGGUGAAAUUCGUAGAUAUUCGGAAGAACACCAGUGGCGAAGGCGACUCACUGGCCCAAUACUGACGCUGAGGCGCGAAAGCGUGGGGAGCAAACAGGAUUAGAUACCCCAGUAGUCC